rnacentral:rRNA from 1 species
UACGAAGGGGGCUAGCGUUGUUCGGAAUCACUGGGCGUAAAGGGCGCGUAGGCGGCUUUAUAAGUCGGGGGUGAAAGCCUGUGGCUCAACCACAGAAUUGCCUUCGAUACUGUAGGGCUUGAGACCGGAAGAGGUUAGUGGAACUGCGAGUGUAGAGGUGAAAUUCGUAGAUAUUCGCAAGAACACCAGUGGCGAAGGCGGCUCACUGGCCCGUAACUGACGCUGAGGCACGAAAGCGUGGGGAGCAAACAGG